rnacentral:tRNA from 1 species
GGGCGGCUGCGCCUCGCGGGCAUGGCCGACGGCUGGGGCCCCUCGGACCACGCCUCGUUCUACGCGGAGGGCGUCCC